CAAGAGAUCUUUUCGCAGUUGCUUGACAAUGGAUAGAAAGGCAAAUUCUAGUUGCUACACGGGGUAAGUAUAUCGCCACGUCUGGUUUAUAAAAAGAUUGCGGCACUCACAUUUGUUAACAAUUGAACAAACCUGUUAAAAAUAGAGCUUGUUGGCAAGAUGGUUGGGCGCGUGUGAUGCAAUGAAACCGCACUGUCCGAAAAAAACUACUUAAGUUGACGUUGCACAGUAACGAAAAAAAACUGAAUUAGUUUACUUUACUGGCACGUGCCAUCUACUAGCAAGAGGUUAGCAUAUCAUCACAUAUGGAUUAUAAAAAGAUUAUUACACUAACAAUUUCAAUAAUGUGAUAUGAUCAGCCAUGACAAACGUCUGGUCACGUUUAUGAACCUCGAAUAAUGAAGUAAGAUCUGUUCAUGAGUGAAAUUCCUGCGUUUGGGUUUAUUGUUUACCCGAGGCAAAUACUUUAAUCAUGGUUUCCCCCUUAAAUUGAGGAUUGCGAAAGGAAACGAAUUCUGUUGUAGCUAAUAGUAAAAUUCAAAUACUGUUUUGAACAUUCUUGAGUUGAGCAUCAUUUUUCACGUUCCUGAGGGUUUCUUGAUGUCUUCGUGUCUAGACGGUAAUAGAAGGUCAGCCAGGGCAUCGAUUUGACACACGCUACGUGCUUAAAAUUAUUGGGAAUCGAGAACAGGAUGUGUUUUCCCGGGACAAAAACAGUAAAUUCCCGUCAAUUCUUACCGACGUGAGGAAAUCAUAUCACGACCACACUCCAACAUCUCGAAGAGCAUGCGCUCUCCUCACCUGAUUGGCGUGGUUAGGUAGACAAGCUACGAAAGGUAUCGAUAAUUACCUUGCAGCACGCGACUUCAAUUGACUCUAAGAUUCCUCUUCAAAGUGAAGUGAGACAGAUGCUGCCAGAAAGAAAACUUAACUUUGAAUUGCUGCCAAAAGAUGAGGUAUGCACCAAAGGAAUUUAUAAUUUCAAGUAACAGUACAUAUAUGCUAUUCGCCGGCUGGUCUUGAAAUUACUGCUCGAGGCCGAAGGCCUAGGGCAGCAUUUUCAAGAACGAGGUCACAGUUUUUCACCAUACGGACCGACCCAUAGCCGGAAAAUCGGCAGACAGAACGAGGAAACCCUCUUAGAUUUUGUUCACAAGGAGAAUCCGAACGAAGAUUGGUUGUAUUUGGAAACAGAAGUUGGUACGAGACAUCAGGAAGUGAUACAUUGGCACCUGAAGGCGGAAAGCUUGUAGAAAGCACUAACCAAGAAUUCCUCUUGACCCUGUUGGCAUUGCUGAGCCUCUUGGUUGUGUUUGUAUGGCUAUCAUGUUGUCAGUGCGAGAUGAAAAUCUGAAACU